rnacentral:sRNA from 1 species
GCUGGGCACGGUGGAGCACGCCUGCAAUCCCAGGGGCUCAGGAGGCUGAGGCAGGAGGAUCGAGAGUUCAAAUCCAGGCUCAGCAACAGUGAGGUGCUAAGCAACUCAGUGAGACCCUGUCUCUA